CCUCUAUUCAAGGCAUACUCAAAUGGUGUUUAAGUCCACUCAAGUAAAACACCACACUUCAAUUUGCAACAUCGUUUCUCAAAAUAAAAUAAAGACCAUGAAAAUUUUAGCCAAAUUGCAUGGGAGACCUGUCCAAACAUAGGUUAACAUUAUAAGGCAUAUUUUUUAAACCAUGCAAAAAGUUGGAAUAUAAAGAAUUCAAUACAAUAGAUAACCUUUUAAACUACAAAUGAUGUUUCAUGAUGUCAAGGGCAUUGUAUUAGCACGAGAGGGUAUUAGAGUACAACUAGUGGAUGAAGACGUCAUUGGGCUAGCUAAUGACCUUUUGUGAUUCUAGGUUUCCUAUAAUCCCCUCUAGGUUUCCUAUAAUCCCCUCUAUUCAAUAUGCCACAUCGUUUCUCAAAAUAAAAUAAAGACCAUGGAAAAUUUAGCCAAAUUGCAUGAGUGAAUUGUCCAAACAUAGGUUAUGGUUGUAAGGCACCUUUUGUGACUAGCUAAUAUGCCACAUCGUUUCUCAAAAUAAAAUAAAGAUGUUAUUGGACUAGCUAAUGACCUUUUGUGAUACCAGGUUUCCUAUAAUCCCCUCUAUUCAAGGCAUACCUAGACGGUGUUUAUGUCCACUGAAAUAAAACACCACAUAUUAAUAUGCCACAUUGUUUCUCAAUAAAACAAAGACCAUGGAAAAUUUAGCCAAAUUGAGUGAGAGAACUGUCCAAACAUAGGUUAAAGUUGUAAGGCACCUUUUUUCCACCAUACAGUUGCUAAAAAGUUGGAAUAUAAAGAAUUCUAAUCAAUAGAUCACCUUUUAAACCACAAAUGAUGUUUCCAUGAUAUUGAGGGCAUUGUAUUCACAUGAGAGGGUAUUAGAGUACAACUAGUGGAUGAAGACAUUGUUGGGCUAGCUACUGACCUUUUGUGAUACCAGGUUUCCUAUAAUCCUCUCUAUUCAAGGCAUACCUAGGUGGUGUUUAUGUCCACUCAAGUAAAACACCGCACAUCAUUAUGCCACAUCGUUUCUCAAAAUAAAAUAAAAUAAAGACCAUGGGAAAUUUAGAAAAAUUGCGUGAGAGAUCUGUCCAAACAUAGGUUAUAGUUGUAUGUCACCUUUUUUCCACCAUACAGUUGUGAAAAGGUUGUAAUACAAAGAAUACAAAACAAUAGAUCACCUUUUAAACCUCAAAUGACGUUUCUAUGAUAUUGAGGACAUUGUAUUCAGACGAGUGGGUAUUCGAGAACAACUAGUGGAUGAAGACGUUAUUGGGCUAGCUAAUGACCUUUUGUGAUACUAGGUUUCCUAUAAUCCCCUGUAUUAAAGGCAUACCUAGAUGGUGUUUGUGUCCACUCAAGUAAAACAUCGCACAUCAUUACGCCACAUCGUUUCUAAAAAUAAAAUAAAGACAAUAGGAAAUUUAGCCAAAUUGGGUAAGAGAUUUGUCCAAACAUAGGUUAAGGUUGUAAGACACCUUUUUCCACCAUACAGUUGCUAAUAAGUUGGAAUAUAAAGAAUUCAAAACAAUAGAUCAUGUUUGAAACAAAAAAUAGUGUUUCUAUGAUAUUAAAGGCAUUGUAUUCGCACGAGAGGGUAUUAGAGUACAACUAUUUGAUGAAGACGCUAGUGGGCUAGCUAAUGAUCUUUUGUGAUAACAGGUUUCCUAUAAUCCCCACUAUUCAAGGAAUACUUAAACGGUGUUUAGGUCCACUCAAGUAAAACGCCACACAUCAAUUUGCCACAUCGAUUCUCAAAAUAAAAUAAAGAUGAUAAAAAGUUGGAAUAUAAAGAAU
rnacentral:lncRNA from 1 species